GACAGAGGUGCCAAGCGUUAGGCGGAAUCACUGGGCUUAAAGCGUGUGUAGGCGGAUGUCUAAGUACCUUGUGAAAUCCCACGGCUCAACCGUGGAACUGCUUGGUAUACUGGAUGUCUUGAGCCAUCUAGGGGCUACCGGAACAAAUGGUGGAGCGGUGAAAUGCGUAGAUAUCAUUUGGAACGCCAAUGGUGAAAACAGGUAGCCGGGGGAUGUGCUGACGCUGAGACACGAAAGCCAGGGGGAGCAAAACGGGG
rnacentral:rRNA from 1 species